rnacentral:rRNA from 1 species
GACGAACGCUGGCGGCGUGCUUAACACAUGCAAGUCGAACGGUGAAGGGACCGGUUUUUGCUGGUUCUGGAUGAGUGGCGAACGGGUGAGUAACACGUGAGUAACCUGCCCCCUUCUUCUGGAUAACCGCAUGAAAGUGUGGCUAAUACGGGAUAUUCUGCGCCUGCUGCAUGGUGGGUGUGGGAAAGAUAUUGUUUCGGUGGGGGAUGGGCUCGCGGCCUAUCAGCUUGUUGGUGGGGUGAUGGCCUACCAAGGCGGUGACGGGUAGCCGGCCUGAGAGGGUGGACGGUCACACUGGGACUGAGACACGGCCCAGACUCCUAAGGGAGGCAGCAGUGGGGAAUAGUGCACAAUGGGCGCAAGCCUGAUGCAGCGACGCCGCGUGAGGGAUGGAGGCCUUCGGGUUGUAAACCUCUUUCGCCAGUGAAGCAGGCCUGUCCCUUGUGUGGGUGGGUUGACGGUAGCUGGAUAAGAAGCGCCGGCUAACUACGUG